rnacentral:sRNA from 1 species
CUUCUGAAGGUUGAUAA